CAGAGAAUAGUUUAUUUAAAAUAUUAAUUUUGGGGAUUAAUGAUAAGUUUCUACGCUUUUCUCUGA
rnacentral:tRNA from 1 species